ensembl:snRNA U6 U6 spliceosomal RNA
GCUUGCUUCGGCAGCACACUAAAAACUUGGAACGAUACAGAGAAGAUUAGCAUGGCCUCUGUGCAGAGAUGACAGCAGCUUGUGAAGUGUUCCAUAUUUAA